UACAGAGGGGGCAAGCGUUGUUCGGAAUUACUGGGCGUAAAGGGCGCGUAGGCGGCCUGCUAAGUCGAACGUGAAAUCCCUGGGCUCAACCCAGGAACUGCGUCCGAUACUGGUUGGCUUGAAUCCGGAAGAGGAGAGUGGAAUUCCCGGUGUAGCGGUGAAAUGCGCAGAUAUCGGGAAGAACACCAGUGGCGAAGGCGGCUCUCUGGGCCACUACUGACGCUGAGAAGCGAAAGCGUGGGGAGCGAACAGG
rnacentral:rRNA from 1 species